CAAAUCAUUUUAGACCAAACACACCAUACCACACAUGUUAGGGCAAAUCAUUUCAGCCUCCCAAAUCGCCUCCAUCUCUAUUCUCGUUCUCAACUCUGAGCUUGCCCUCUCUCAGGCUCUGCAACUGCAAACUACAAAAUCUACAAGAAUCAGAUCAGCCUCCGAAAUCGCCUCCAACUCUAUUCUCGUUCUCAACUCUGAACUUGCCCUCUCUAUGUCUCUGCAACUACAAACUACAAAAUCUACAAGAAUCAGAACCCAUAUCGGCAUAUCAUUUCAGAUUGUUUAAAAAAUUAAAACCCAUAUCCUUCAGUUUCCAUCGCCCGCUGUUCCAGUUUGGGUUCGCUGUUCGAAAGCUUCAGCAAUCGACCAAAAUUGUAGAACUCUACAGGGUUUUUAUCUCAGAUGGAAGGCGUCGAUGAUGAUUUCGGCGAUAUAUAUGUAGACGUUGAAGUUCAAGCAAGUACAACCAUCAAUGGCUUCCCAAACCGCACUCAAUCAUACACAAUUUAAGGAGUGGAGGGUUUGAUGAUGAAGAAGAGGAGGAAGGUUGUGAUUUUGCAGCUGCAGAGGGGAAUGGUUCGGGUAAGAAUCGGAAAUGGGUUGAUCAAUCCCAGUUGGGCGAUGGAUUGGAACAGUGUUCUAAUGGUACUGGUGGCGGUGAGAGGGAAAAUCUGGUGAAGGGCGGUUAUCAUUCACAAUACAAGUACUUAAGAUAUCAGACAGCAGCUUAUCCUUGUAAUUCAAAAGCCAAUGGAUCCAUGGUUUCAGCUUCCUACUCUUCCACCUUGGCUAAAGGCAGUUUGGACAAUAAUGGGUCCAGUCAACAUAUGGGCUCAAGCUCAGUAGUAACUCAAAGUGGAUACAAUUUCUCUCUUCCCUGGUAUAGGACUAUACUAGAUGUAAAUAUUGCUAUGUUCAAACAGAGGCCAUGGAGGCAUACUGGAACUGAUAUAACAGAUUUUUUUUAAUUUUGGGUUCAACGAGGAAAGUUGGGAAAGUUAUUGCAACUGUCUGGUCAAAGUUAGGAUUGCGGGUUGCGGGAGCAGUUACUUUUUUUGUUACCGCUAUAUUUUUUGUAUGGUUCAUGAAGGAGAAGUUACAAGAAGAUAUGAAGAAUUUUUGUUUUAUUUUGGUUAAGUAAAAUAUAUAAGGUGUGGAUCAUGUACUUCUUUCAAAUUUGUAUAUGGUUAAUUUUUGUAUAAAAUAAUGAUUUGGAAUUGGUUUAUGAGUUGUAAAUUAUUUUGGUUAUAAUGCUAUUUUGUAUUUAUUUAGGGUUC